rnacentral:rRNA from 1 species
GAUGAACGCUGGCGGCGUGCUUAACACAUGCAAGUCGAACGAUUAAGCCCAGCUUGCUGGGUGGUUUAGUGGCGAACGGGUGAGUAACACCUGGGUAACCUGCCCUUGACUCUGGGAUAAGCCUGGGAAACUGGGUCUAAUACCCGAUACUACCAACUGGGGCAUUUCAUGGUGGUGGGAAGCUUUUGUGGUUUUGGAUGGACUCGCGGCCUAUCAGCUUGUUGGUGGGGUAAUGGCCUACCAAGGCGACGACGGGUAGCCGGCCUGAGAGGGUGACCGGCCACACUGGGACUGAGACACGGCCCAGACUCCUACGGGAGGCAGCAGUGGGGAAUAUUGCACAAUGGGCGCAAGCCUGAUGCAGCGACGCCGCGUGAGGGAUGACGGCCUUCGGGUUGUAAACCUCUUUCAGUAGGGAAGAAGCGAAAGUGACGGUACCUGCAGAAGAAGCGCCGGCUAACUACGUG